rnacentral:rRNA from 1 species
GAUGAACGCUAGCUACAGGCUUAACACAUGCAAGUCGAGGGGUAACGAGAGGAAAGCUUGCUUUCCUUGUCGACGACCGGCGCACGGGUGAGUAACGCGUAUCCAACCUGCCCCCAACUAGGGAAUAACCUUGCGAAAGUAAGACUAAUACCCUAUAAUUUCCUCAGAUGUCAUCUGACGAGGAAUAAAGAUUUAUCGGUUGUGGAUGGGGAUGCGUCUGAUUAGCUUGUUGGCGGGGUAACGGCCCACCAAGGCAACGAUCAGUAGGGGUUCUGAGGGGAAGGUCCCCCCCAUUGGAACUGAGACACGGUCCAAACUCCUACGGGAGGCAGCAGUGAGGAAUAUUGGUCAAUGGGCGAAAGCCUGAACCAGCCAAGUAGCGUGCAGGAUGACGGCCCUAUGGGUUGUAAACUGCUUUUAUACAGGAAUAAAGUUAGCCACGUGUGGUUAUUUGUAGGUACUGUAUGAAUAGGGACCGGCUAAUUCCGUGCCAGCCGCCGCCGUAA